rnacentral:sRNA from 1 species
GCCAGCCAGGAAUAGAUAUUGAUUUCUUUAUGGAUUUCUUUUGCUUGUUAAAUACUUUCUCCCAUGUGCGAAAUACCCUAUUAAUACUUUUAGCUGUCUUCCCGUAUACCCCAAUUCAUACAGUCCAACAGCAAAAAUAAAAAAUAAUAUAAUAUCCAUCCGUCCAAUCUAAUCUAAUCCACUCACGGAGACCACAUCACCACCGAAGCAGAAAGGAGACAAACCCAAGGACGGAAUACAACCACCUCUUUUUUUUUUUUUAAAAAAAAAAAAACAGAAAGAAAUAAAGAAAGAAUCCAUAACCCAAAACUAUACACCAUGGCCUUCCAAUCCGCCCCGCAACCCCUCCCCCCAACCACAAUCCACCGCUCCAGCUCAAAAACCCACCGCAUCUCCCCCUCAGUCGCCCACGACUUUCUCUCCGCCUACCUCGACCGAGCCGCCACAGACCCCAGCCUACAACCCGACUCCGCCCUCUCCACUCACGGGCCCGUCUCCGCAAACGCAGGCUCCGCGCCAAACCUCGUCAUCCACAAUUUGAAGCGCGUCCAGGCGGGAUUAGCGGGGGAGGUACUGGGGAGGGAUUUGACACUUGCGAGGUUGGAUGGGGAGGGCGGCGGGCCGGUAUUUGCGUUGAAAUCACGAGAGGUUGGAGGGGAUGGAGAAGAUUGGGGUGGGGACGGGAG